GCCCGUCUGAGGGUCGGC
rnacentral:rRNA from 2 species